AGUGAACGCUGGCGGUAGGCCUAACACAUGCAAGUCGAACGGCAGCACAGUAAGAGCUUGCUCUUACGGGUGGCGAGUGGCGGACGGGUGAGGAAUACAUCGGAAUCUACUUUUUCGUGGGGGAUAACGUAGGGAAACUUACGCUAAUACCGCAUACGACCUACGGGUGAAAGCAGGGGAUCUUCGGACCUUGCGCGAUUGAAUGAGCCGAUGUCGGAUUAGCUAGUUGGCGGGGUAAAGGCCCACCAAGGCGACGAUCCGUAGCUGGUCUGAGAGGAUGAUCAGCCACACUGGAACUGAGACACGGUCCAGGCUCCUACGGGAGGCAGCAGUGGGGAAUAUUGGACAAUGGGUGCAAGCCUGAUCCAGCCAUACCGCGUGGGUGAAGAAGGCCUUCGGGUUGUAAAGCCCUUUUGUUGGGAAAGAAAAGCAGCAGGUUAAUACCCCGCUGUUCUGACGGUACCCAAAGAAUAAGCACCGGCUAACUUCGU
rnacentral:rRNA from 1 species